CUAAAACCUGGAUUUCCCCUGAGGACACAGCUUUCCCACAGUCUCCUUAAGUGGCCAAGAACCUGGAAAACUCUAUCUGGUAACAGUAUUUGGAAGUGUGCUUUUAGGAGAUAAUAAGAGCUAAAUAAAGUCAUGAGGAUGGAGCUUGACCAUCUGACUCACACAAUGAUGGGCUCUGGAGGCUGGGAAGUCCAAGACUGAGGAGCCUGCAUCUGGUAAAAGAAGACAUGAACAUGAUAAAGAAGAACAUGAAAGAUAUAAAAAUGAC
rnacentral:lncRNA from 13 species